GUCUACGGCCAAGCCACCCUGAACAUGCCUGAUCCCGUCUGAUCUCGGAAGCUAAGCAGGGUCGGGCCUGGUUAGUACUUGGGUGGGAGACCAUCUAGGAAGACUAGGUUCUGUAGGAG
rnacentral:rRNA from 1 species